CCUACGGGUGGCAGCAGUGGGGAAUAUUGCGCAAUGGGCGAAAGCCUGACGCAGCGACGCAGCGUGAGGGAUGAAGGUCUUCGGAUCGUAAACCUCUGUCAGCAGGGAAGAACGGUCACUGUGCUAAUCAGCAGUGAAUUGACGGUACCUGCAAAGGAAGCACCGGCUAACUCCGUGCCAGCAGCCGCGGUAAUACGGAGGGUGCGAGCGGUAAUCGGAAUUACUGGGCGUAAAGCGCUCGUAGGCGGUAUGUCAAGUCAAGGGGGAAAUCCCCGCGCUCAACGUGGGAACUGCCUUUGAAACUGGCAAACUGGAGUGUGUGAGAGGAUAGUGGAAUUCCAGGUGUAGGAGUGAAAUCCGUAGAUAUCUGGAGGAACAUCAGUGGCGAAGGCGACUAUCUGGCACAUAACUGACGCUGAGGAGCGAAAGCGUGGGUAGCAAACAGGAUUAGAUACCCCAGUAGUC
rnacentral:rRNA from 1 species